UCCAGCCUACGGGGCGCAGCAGUGAGGAGUAUUGGUCAAUGGGAGAGAUCCUGAACCAGCCAAGCCGCGUGAGGGAAGACGGCCCUAUGGGUUGUAAACCUCUUUUGUCGGAGAACAAAACCCGGCACGUGUCCCGGACUGCGUGUAUCCGAAGAAAAAGCAUCGGCUAACUCCGUGCCAGCAGCCGCGGUAAUACGGAGGAUGCGAGCGUUAUCCGGAUUUAUUGGGUU
rnacentral:rRNA from 1 species